rnacentral:misc_RNA from 1 species
CCGAAUGUUGCCUUGAUGGGUUGUCGCUGGCUUUGAAUUCAGAGCAUGUGCACACCUGUCUUGACUUCUAUUCAUCCACCUGUGCACCUUUUGUAGUCUUUUUGGGGGCUGGGGAAGCAGGUUCAGCUUUUACAGGCUGUUCUUGUGAUAACCUCCCACUGAAGGCUAUGUUUUUACAUAUACCACUUAGAAUGUAACAGAAUGUUGUCAAUGGGCACUUGUGGCCUAUAUAAAAUCUAUA